ACAAACAUGGCGAAUUAUUAAAAUUACGUUAAUGUCAAAAUUCUAGUGCAAAUGAUAAUUUUCUGAUUUUUGGUUUAGUUUUUAAAAUUUUUGUUCCGCGUUUACCCGAACCAAAUUUUGUUCGUUAAUAAUCCUCACGUAAAAUCAUUGUUUAUCAAAUAUGUGUUCCUGCGGUUAUUCCUAACCUGUUUUAAUUUUUUAUGAAGAUUUCUAAAAAUUGAUUAAAUAUUUAAGCAGUAGAUGAAAAAUCACAGGAGUUAGUAUGGAAGAUUCGAGUAGUACUAACCAGCCAAACAAUUCUGAAUUGACAAAUUUCUCGGAUGAAGUUGAUCCCAAAACAGAUGAUGAUUCGAAGAAGGAAUCCGCUUCUUCAAUGAAAAAAUUUAUUGAGGAUUGUGAUCUUUUGGAACCUUUUGCUUGGCGAAAAGAUAACCCUGCACUUGCCUCUAUCCCUGACGAUUUUACCUCACUAACCAUAACCCAUGCUGUAUCUCCCAAAAGGGAUAGUACAUUGGAAAAAGAAGACUUAUGGCUAUCAGGUGGUCCAGCUGGUUCGCGCAAUUCCAUACUGAUAUUUAGAAGUUCGGCGCUUGCCAAUGCCUCAGAUAAUGUCGUUCGUUCCAAACCAGGUUAUCAAUUGCAUACAUCUUACAAAGUGUCACAAGCCGAAACAAAACUUCUAUCCAAACUUUUGGAAUGUCAUGGCAUGGUCGAGGCCGGGAACAACUCCACCGAUUUUAAUCUACUUUGGACCGGCUCGCAUCCAAAACCGGGUACUCUCAGAUCGUUGGCACCUCACCAGCGUGUCAAUCACUUCCCGCGCUCCUACGAGUUAACCCGUAAAGAUCGCCUGUAUAAGAACAUCGAACGAAUGCAACAUGGCAAAGGUCUCAGGAAUUUCGAUUUUAUCCCGCAGACUUUUGUGAUGCCCGGGGAGUAUCGCGAGCUUUGCAGUACACACUAUCGGCUGAAGGGACCGUGGAUAGUCAAACCAGUUGCAUCUAGUAGAGGACGAGGAAUAUUCAUUGUUGAAAAUCCAAACCAAGUACCUUUAGAUGAACCUGUAGUAGUUGCCAAAUAUAUUAGUAAACCAUUGCUAGUCGAAGGACACAAGUGUGAUCUUAGGCUUUACGUGCUUGUCUCUUCUUUUGAUCCUUUAAUAGUCUAUAUUUACGAAGAAGGAUUAGUAAGACUCGCUACGGUUAGAUACGAUGCUAGUCAUAAACAGUUAUGGAAUCCUUGUAUGCAUCUGUGCAACUACAGUAUCAACAAGUACCAUAGCGAUUACGUUAAGUCAGACGAUCCAAGUGCAGAAAAUGUAGGUCACAAAUGGACCCUAAGUGCUUUAUUACGCCAUUUAAAGGCGCAAGGAAAAGACACCGCUUUACUUAUGGCGCAAAUUGAGGAUGUUGUUGUUAAAGCUAUACUAGCAACGGCAAGUUCAAUAGUGCCAGCUUGUCAAAUGUUUGUGCCUCAUACUAAUAAUUGUUUUGAGUUGUAUGGGUUUGACAUAUUAAUUGAUGAAGAUUUCAAACCGUGGUUACUAGAAGUGAAUCUUUCACCUUCACUAGGCUGUGAUAGUCCUCUCGAUGUUCGUUUAAAAUCCGCGAUGCUAGCAGACCUGCUCACCCUAGUGGGUAUACCUGCCGUCGAUCCCCUCCUUCACUCAUCAACAAUUUCCGUUAACUCCUCCAGUUCGUCCACGAAAGGUUCUCACUUUAAUGUGCUUAAAAUGAAGCUCAGUAAUUGUCGAAGAGUGCAUUCGGCGGAUGCCUUGCAUCAAACCUCAACGAAGAAAAGUUCGACCACAACUCAGGGCAGGUUCUCGUCAAGUAAAUUCGAUUUAACCGCUGAGGAAAUGAAGAUCGUGCGUACGGCCAAACAGCAGUUUGAAAGGCGUGGUGGUUUUGUGCGAAUUUUCCCAACUGUGGACAGUUGGUCAAAAUAUUCUCAGUAUUUAGAAACGGUAACUGGAAUUCCAUCAAAUGGCGCACCAUCAAGUACAUAUAACGUGUUAGGAACACACAAUUAUAAUCAAAUGCUAUUUUUGCAAUUGUAUCCUGAUGUUCCCCUGGGACAUUCGUUGAAGAAUUUGGACAAAUCGAUUAAUGAGCGCAAAAGUGUUGGUAUUGAGCGGAAAAGAGAUUUAUCACUGGAUGGGACUGUAACAGACAAAGGUGUACCUCACAAUCGCCAAGAACGGUACGAAAGAAUGUUAAGUCAAGGCCAUCGCCAAACUUUUGGCGUCAAAAAAAUACCACUUCACGAAUCACACUCCGCCGAACUGAAGCGGCAAUUACUUGAAUCAAUGAAGGGGGGAAAGAGACUGACGCAAAUUGAGGCGCGUAAGGUGUUCAGCAGUUACUUGGCAUGCAUCUUGAAACGCAUCGCGGCUGCUCCUGAUCAGGAAGGUCACGUCGAGAUAGUUCUUAAGUUUUUGCAGAAGGCUUCUAAUUAUCUUCGAACUCCGUUUUCCGUAAAGGUACCGAGCCAAAAACUCCUGGGAAAGGAUAGGGCUGCUAUCAUUGCGAAGCAACUGAAUGAUUUUUUGUACAUUUACAAUAGAGAAACUGAGAUGUAUGGUGAUGUUCUGCAUCGACCUAGUGAGCUUCCCAGUAAUUUAUUUAUUGAAUUCCUUGAGAAUGCUAGGGAAUGUGACCUGGAGGAAGUUCUUGUGGAGCAGUCCCUGCAUCCCACGUCAACGAAUAAUAAAGGAACCGGUUUCCAAAAUGUGUUAAAAUGCCUACCAAGUGCCAGCCAAACCUAUUUAAAAACCACAUCACGACGGCCUGCUCCGAGAAACGCGUGUAAAAUUUCAUCUCGCAUUUCCUGAUCGAUAUUUGCGUGUAAUAUUGUCAAUUUCUGUUGACUAUAACAACGGCAUCUACUGCGAGUGAGAUUAUUCUUCAUUCGACUUUUUUUGUGUUACACUGUUAGUAUUUUGAUUGAUAUAAGACUGUUUUUCUAAUAGAGGAUUAAUUGAUUUAUUCUGUUGCAUUUACAAAUACUUAUUUUUUUCCAAUAAUAACAACAUUGGUUUACAAUUUGUAAUAAUACUCCCCAUAUCUGGUGCGUGUGUCUGUAUGUUGUGACUUUUGGGUGAUUAAUUUUGAAGGGGUGAGUAAUCAGUAGUACAGUUAGGAAGGCAUGUUAUUGUGUGAUGGUGAAUGGAUUUGGUUGUCAUAAACAAAAUUUAAUCAUUCCUUAAAUAUUAAUGCUAAUGGCACAUUUUCAAGUUCUUCAAGUUUCUCAGUGGAAGGUUGAACUUAAUUUUUGACAUGGCUAGAAAAUUGUGCUGCGAUAAUUUAGACUGUUCUGUGUUGAAAUACUCCCCAACUCUGUUUGUAUACUUAGUUAAAAAACGUUGAAAACAAUCAUUUUAUUUGCACCAAAUACCUGUGCAUUAAUUAUUGUUACAAACACAAUGAAGCUAUUACCAAUGGCGACGUGACAAUCAAACAAAUCUAUCUCGCAUUAUUUUUAAGCAAGUCACAAGAUGAAAGAACACUGGCCCAUGUUUAUGUUUAAAUCGCCCAAUUUUAUCUUGUACGAUUCGCAAGAACAUUGCUAGGGUUGAAAUCAAGGACCCCGAAAACCCCUAGUACAAAAUUACAAACCAUUUCUUUAAAAAUUCAACUUUUUGGCAUAAUAAAACGUCAUAUUGGAUCCGCCAUUUUGAAUUCCGUAAUUCGGACUUCGGAUUCUUAAUCAGCGAACUCAAAAACUCCCUAGUACGAAAUUAUAAAUAAUUUCUUUAAAAAUACAAAUUUUUCACACAACACAACACCACAUUAGAUCCGCCAUUUUGCAUUUUAUACUUCUGACAUAAAUUGCCAUUAUUAUUAAUUCUUUCAUUUGGUGCUUUUUCACAAAGAACAGAUUAGUCGGAACUAAGUUCAGCUUUCAAUUGGAAAACCAAGUAACUUAAUGUUGCCACUACCUCCAUUUUCAUACAGAUCACACUACCGUGAGAAGCUGGUACGAAAUUAGUUUUACGAAAUAUUGAGGCCGAAUUUAUAAUACGCUAAUGUGUUGCAAUAUCAACGAAUUUAUGGACUUCUCAGUAGUAAUAGGGAUUCAUGUUAAUAUUAUGGGUGUGAUGUGACGUGCUGAAUAGUCGCAAGUGUAUUUGUACUGAUGAAGUUGGGUGUUGGCCUAGUUAUCUACUUUAAGGUUCCGAAUCCGCUUAAAAUAAAAAUGCCAAUAUUAUAUUACAUAAAUUACGCCAAUUGAAAAUGCCUAUCAGAAAUUUUGCAGUUUUUAAUAUCAAAACAAUCUGAAUGUGUUCAUUUGCAUGUAUCAAUGUUGUUAAUGAGAACUUGCUAUGCAUUAAAUAUUUUUCUAAAGCAGAAUAUAUAUUUAGAUAUGCCUAGAGAUGCACAAUUUUAGAUUUAGGUUAUUUACUAUGUUUGGUUUGUUCCCAUGCGUGUAUCAAGUCAUUGGAGUACGGUGUAGUUUAUUAGCACUGAUUGAAGUAUACCAUGAUAUACCUACUGAUGAGAUGAAAGAUGAGUUAUAAGAGAUGAGAAAAAAAUGAUUUGUACCAUAAUCACUGGAUUUUGCAUUAAUUAAUACUUCAAUCAAAUCAUUGAUAUCAGCGGUUUUUUAUGUGACCGGGUAUACUACAAUGGAACAAGCUUAUCAGCAAUGACUGAAUUAGAUUAGCUGGCAGUACAGAUCAAUUAUUUAUGUACUUAUUACUACAAGCACGAAUGUGAUAGCCAACCAAAUCAUUUAACAAUUAGACAUAAUUGAAGAGCAAAUAAUUAGUUUUUAGUCAACUGUAUCACACUGAAGUGAGACUUAUUUUUCUAAAUGCAAUAGUAACAUCAAUGACUAAGUUUUAAACGAGUAUCGGUAUACAAAGAUGUUUAUGGUGGCUAUAAUUAUUAUGUAACUUUUUGCUUUAAAUAUUGGUGAUUGUUACACCACCAAUCUAAAUGUAUUAUUCUUAGUUUGUCUAGUGCACAUAUCAACUGCUCAAACCUUAUAUUGGGUGCUUUGCUUAAUUUAAAGAUUAAAUGUUUGUUAUUGUUCACACUGUUUUUCAGUUUUUAAUUUAUAUUAAUCAUUUGUUUUGUUAUGAUUAGAUUGAUUUGUCAAUCUUUAAUUACUGAACUUUAAAUAUUUUAUUGUUUAUUUAUUGCAGUUUAGUCAAUUUGAUAAGAAUUACAAGAACUGAAUUUGUAUUUUAUUUAUGUAUUAUGUAAACUAGUCACAAGUUACACAAUAUAUAAUUACACUUG